rnacentral:rRNA from 1 species
AUGUUAACUAUCUCCCAUACCUCUCAUGAGUUUAUGGAAGACUUGAAGGAGGCAGAUUUGUGUGCUGCACUUGUUGUAAAGGGAGAAGAGCACCUGACUGUUGAAAUUCCAGCAAAGGUACGUGGUUUAUUGGCAGAAUUUCAGAACAUACUUGGGGAGCCACAUGGCUUGCCACCGAUGAGAGGAAUUCAACAUAGAAUUGACUUAAUUCCGGGAGCAAGUCUUCCUAAUCUUCCACACUAUCGAAUGAGCCCAAAGGAGCAUGGUAUAUUGAAGGAGAAAGUGGAGGAAUUGUUGCAAAAGGGGCACAUUCGAGGAAGUAUUAGCCCAUGUGCUGUACCAGCCCUACUCGCGCCAAAGAAAGAUGGAUCUUGGCGCAUGUGUACGGACAGUAGAGCCGUUAACAAGAUCACCGUAAGGUAUAGAUUCCCUAUUCCCCGUCUGGAUGAUGUGUUGGAUCAGCUUAAUGGAGCAAGAGUGUUCACAAAGCUAGAUUUAAGAAGUGGAUAUCAUCAAAUCCGUAUAAGACCCGGGGAUGAAUGGAGGACCGCCUUCAAGACAAAGGAAUGGUUGUUUGAAUGGCUAGUCAUGCCAUUUGGACUCUCAAAUGCACCAAGUACCUUUAUGCACUUAAUGAAUCAAGUCCUUAGACCCUUCUUAUCCCACUUUGUUGUGGUCUAUUUCGAUGACAUCUUGAUCUAUAGCAAGGAUGAGGAUGAACACUUUGAUCACGUUCGGAAGGUGCUAGAAGUACUAAGGGAAAAUGAGCUCUACGUCAACUUGAAGAAAUGUGUUUUCCUGCAAACACAACUUCUUUUCCUAGGAUUCGUCAUAACAUGUGACGGCAUUCGUGUUGAUGAUUCUAAGGUUGAAGCAAUCCGAGAAUGGCCAACUCCUAAGACCAUUUCUGAGGUAAGAAGCUUUCAUGGCCUUGCAACUUUCUAUAGGCGAUUUGUUAAGAAUUUCAGCACUAUCAUGGCACCAAUUACCGAGUGUUUGAAGAAAGGAAAGUUCCAAUGGGCAGAAGCAGCUGAAGCUAGCUUCAAUGAGAUUAAACAAAAGCUAUCACAAGCUCCUGUCUUGGUACUACCUGAUUUCAACAAGACUUUUGAGUUGGAGUGUGAUGCAAGUGGAGUAGGCAUUGGAGCUGUCCUAUCUCAAGAAAGGAAGCCCAUUGCUUUCUUUAGUGAGAAGUUAAGUGAAGCUAGACAGAAAUGGAGUACCUAUCAGCAAGAAUUAUACGCCGUUUUCAGAGCGUUGAAAACUUGGGAAGUCUAUUUGCUGCCUAAAGAGUUCAUUGUUUAUAGCGACCAUCAAUCCUUGAAGCAUUUUAGAAAUCAAAAACAUGUUGACCGCAUGCUAGCAAGAUGGGCAGCAUAUCUUGAGAGGUUUAACUAUCUCAUCGUGCAUAAAUCUGGAAUAACUAACAGAGUGGCCGAUGCUUUGAGUCGUCGUGCAUGCCUCUUGACUUCUUUUGAAGCUGAACUUCCGGGCAUGGGUCAAAUAAAGGAGUUGUAUGAGGGUGACGAAGGCUUUGGCCAUGUUUGGGUAAAGCACGCAAGGGGCCAACCAUUAGGUGAUGACUAUUUGAUGCAAGAUGGAUAUCUCUUCAAAAAUGAUCGUUUGUGCAUUCCAAGAAGUUCUCUACGUGACAAGCUGGUUAGAGAGCUCCAUUCAAGUGAUCUUAGUGGCCAUGUUGGACGGGACAAGACUAUCACUAACCUGGAAGCUCGCUACUUUUGGCCACAACUAAAGAGAGAUGCUGGAAAGUUCGUUCAACGGUGCCCCGUAUGUCAGACCUGCAAAGGCCAAGUCCAGAACACAGGGUUAUACAUGCCUUUGCCUGUUCCUGUUGCUCCAUGGGAGGACAUUUCUAUGGACUUCGUCUUGGGCUUGCCAAGAACAAGACGAGGAAGUGAUGCUGUAUUUGUGGUCGUGGAUAGAUUCUCUAAGAUGGCUCAUUUCAUCCCAUGCUGCAAGACAACGGAUGCUCAUCAUGUGGCAAACCUAUUCUUUCGAGAAGUGGUCAGACUUCAUGGAGUUCCAAGGUCCAUUGUCUCAGACCGUGAUAGCAAGUUUCUUGCUGCAUUUUGGCUCACUUUGUGGAAGCAAUUCAACACUGAAUUGAAAUUUUCUAGCACUGCUCAUCCACAAACAGAUGGACAAACGGAAGUGGUGAACAAGUUUUUGGGUAAUCUGAUCCGUUGCAUUUGUGGAGAAAGAAAGGGGCAAUGGGAUUUGGCUUUAUCUCUUGCAGAGUUCUCCUAUAAUAACUCCAAGCAUAGAUCCACAGGAAGGAGCCCUUUUUCCAUUGUCUACACUAAAGUUCCAACACAUGUGGUGGACCUGGUGAAGCUGCCAUCAAGGGGAAACUCAAAAUCAGCAUUGUCCUUUGCUGAUAAUUACACCGAGUUAUUUGAAGAGAUUCGCGGCGCUUUGGAAGCACAAAAUCAGAAAUAUAAACAACUUGCUGAUUGCAAAAAGAGGCCAAAAUCAUUCCAAGUCGGUGAUAAGGUGAUGGUCUACCUCCGAAAAGAGAGGCUGCCUUUAGGUGUUAAAGGGAAACUUAGGCAGCGAAGGUAUGGGCCCUUCUCUAUCAUGAGGAAGAUAAAUGAUAAUGCUUAUGUGAUAGAUCUUCCAAGUGACAUGGGUAUCUCUAACACUUUCAAUGUUGCGGACUUGACUCUCUACCAUCCAGAAGAAGCGCUCUAUGAAGAUAACUCGAGGGCGAGUUCCAAACAACCAGGGGAGAAUGAUGAGGAACACUAG